GAUGAACGCUAGCGGCAGGCCUAAUACAUGCAAGUCGAGGGGCAGCAGGCUGUAGCAAUACAGUGCUGGCGACCGGCGCACGGGUGCGUAACACGUAUGCAAUUUGCCCAUAACUGGGGGAUAGCCUUCCGAAAGGAAGAUUAAUACCCCAUGACCCAACGAGGUGGCAUCACUUUUUUGGUAAAUCUCCGGAGGUUAUGGAUGAGCAUGCGUCUGAUUAGCUAGUUGGUGAGGUAACGGCUCACCAAGGCAACGAUCAGUAGGGGGUCUGAGAGGAUGAUCCCCCACACGGGUACUGAGACACGGACCCGACUCCUACGGGAGGCAGCAGUAAGGAAUAUUGGACAAUGGAGGCAACUCUGAUCCAGCCAUGCCGCGUGAAGGAUGAAGGCCCUACGGGUUGUAAACUUCUUUUCUCUUAGAAAAAACUACUGGUUUCGUACCGGUACUGAUUGUACAAGAGGAAUAAGCAUCGGCUAACUUCGUGCCAGCCGCCGCAGUAACAC
rnacentral:rRNA from 1 species